UACGAAGGGGGCUAGCGUUGUUCGGAAUUACUGGGCGUAAAGCGCGCGCAGGCGGUCUUCCAAGUCAGUGGUGAAAGCCCGGAGCUCAACUCCGGAACUGCCAUUGAAACUGUUGGACUUGAGUAUGAGAGAGGUGAGUGGAAUUCCCAGUGUAGAGGUGAAAUUCGUAGAGAUCGGGAGGAACAUCAGUGGCGAAGGCGGCCAUCUGGGACAACACUGACGCUGAAGCACGAAAGCGUGGGGAGCAAACAGG
rnacentral:rRNA from 1 species